ensembl:lncRNA
UUAUUAUAUAGCCUACUCAACAUUACAGUUCAGUACCGUUUUCAAGACUUUGCUUUAGCAUUGUCAUAUUUCACGAAAAAUUAUUUGCAUGUAUAUGCUGGUUCUGGCUGUUCCUUGAACUGCUGAUUCCUGUGAGAUGUCCAACUCUAGCGUACCGGCGGCGACUUUCCGUCCUUGUGUUUUCCGGUUUCGAGUCAUGCAGGGCAGCGGCGCGAAUCAUGCACUUUGCCAAACACAAGAUAGGCAGACCCUUGAGUCAUGCUUGCUCUGGUUUCCAUUUAAGCUGUGAUUCUCUGUAAAGGCAAACAAUAACAGACUACCUCUCAAAAGGGUUUACGUUGUUGAAAAUAAUUUUCCUAUCACUUAUCGCGACUCACUCGCACCUGCUUUUCCUCUGAAGUGCCGCAGAGGGAAUUAAUAGUGAGCUUAUUACACAGCUCGCUGCCCAGAAGAGAAGUAGCAGUUACCGACCAUUCUCCGUCAUCAUUUACAAUACAACAUUACUGCUUUCAUCUUCACCAAAAUGCCGGGCUGGAGGAGAAAUCUGACUUUAUGUUUGCAGAGAAUGCACGAAGAAGCUGAUGCCCAUACUCCGUGAAAUCUGGCCAAGUAUCUCCGGCCUCCAAGGGAUUGGGGCUGGCUCAUGGAUGAUGCUGAGAAGAGCUUGUUUGAAAGCGACACACACACACACAGACGCUGUUCCCUUAUGUUAUUGUUACAAUCAUUAAACAGAGAAUCAUAGUCUUGACAUAUUGCUAUUGUAACAAAGAUAAUCACACCAGUUAUCUUUAGAUUUUGAAUGUGUGUUUUAUUGUAUUUGUUUGUGGUUUGUUUACAUGCAGUUAUAAUUUUCACUAGCUGACUUCAAAGUCUAGUAUUCCAGUCCACAUAUAAUGAAGAAGGAAGUCUACUGUAACAGUUCCCAUGUAAUAAAAAAUAUGUCAACAAGUCCUUAUGUAAUAUAGAAGAAGCCUACUGUACCAGUCCCCAUGUAAAAUAGAAGAAGCCUACUGUACCAGUCCCCAUGUAAUAAAGAAGAAAGUCUACUCUAACAGUUCCUAUGUAAUAAAGAAGAACAUCUACUGUACCAGUCCCCAUGUAAUAAAGAAGGAAGUCUACUGUACCAGUCCCCAUGUAAUAAAGAAGGAAGUCUUCUGUACCAGUCCCCAUGUAAUAAAGAAGGAAGUCUUCUGUACAAGUCCCCAUGUAAUAAAGAAGGAAGUCUUCUGUACCAGUCCCCAUGUAAUAAAGAAGGAUGUCUUCUGUACCAGUCCCCAUGUAAUAAAGAAGGAGGUUUUCUGUACAAGUUCCCAUGUAAUAAAG